rnacentral:rRNA from 1 species
UACGGAGGGGGCUAGCGUUGUUCGGAAUUACUGGGCGUAAAGCGCACGUAGGCGGCUUUGCAAGUUAGAGGUGAAAGCCCGGGGCUCAACUCCGGAAUUGCCUUUAAAACUGCAUCGCUAGAAUUGUGGAGAGGUAAGUGGAAUUCCGAGUGUAGAGGUGAAAUUCGUAGAUAUUCGGAAGAACACCAGUGGCGAAGGCGACUUACUGGACACAUAUUGACGCUGAGGAGCGAAAGCUAGGGGAGCAAACGGG